rnacentral:rRNA from 1 species
GGAAGGAUCAUUACCGAGUGAGGGCCCUCUGGGUCCAACCUCCCACCCGUGUUUAUUUUACCUUGUUGCUUCGGCGGGCCCGCCUUAACUGGCCGCCGGGGGGCUUACGCCCCCGGGCCCGCGCCCGCCGAAGACACCCUCGAACUCUGUCUGAAGAUUGAAGUCUGAGUGAAAAUAUAAAUUAUUUAAAACUUUCAACAACGGAUCUCUUGGUUCCGGCAUCGAUGAAGAACGCAGCGAAAUGCGAUACGUAAUGUGAAUUGCAAAUUCAGUGAAUCAUCGAGUCUUUGAACGCACAUUGCGCCCCCUGGUAUUCCGGGGGGCAUGCCUGUCCGAGCGUCAUUGCUGCCCUCAAGCCCGGCUUGUGUGUUGGGCCCCGUCCCCCGAUCUCCGGGGGACGGGCCCGAAAGGCAGCGGCGGCACCGCGUCCGGUCCUCGAGCGUAUGGGGCUUUGUCACCCGCUCUGUAGGCCCGGCCGGCGCUUGCCGAUCAACCCAAAUUUUUAUCCAGGUUGACCUCGGAUCAGGUAGGGAUACCCGCUGAACUUAAGCAUAUCAUAA